GUCCACGCUGUAAACGAUGAGCGCUAGGUGUCGUGGGUAUUGACCCCCGCGGUGCCGAAGCUAACGCAUUAAGCGCUCCGCCUGGGAAGUACGGUCGCAAGACUAAAACUCAAAGGAAUUGACGGGGGCCCCGCACAAGCGGUGGAGCAUGUGGUUUAAUUCGACGCAACGCGCAGAACCUUACCUGGGCUGGAAAGUGCUUGGAAGUCUUGUGAAAGCGAGAUGUGCCCGCAAGGGAGCCAAGUGACAGGUGCUGCAUGGCUGUCGU
rnacentral:rRNA from 1 species